GCCGCGUGAGUGAUGAAGGUUUUCGGAUCGUAAAGCUCUGUUGUUAGGGAAGAACAAGUACCGUUCGAAUAGGGCGGUACCUUGACGGUACCUAACCAGAAAGCCACGGCUAACUACGUGCCAGCAGCCGCGGUAAUACGUAGGUGGCAAGCGUUGUCCGGAAUUAUUGGGCGUAAAGGGCUCGCAGGCGGUUUCUUAAGUCUGAUGUGAAAGCCCCCGGCUCAACCGGGGAGGGUCAUUGGAAACUGGGGAACUUGAGUGCAGAAGAGGAGAGUGGAAUUCCACGUGUAGCGGUGAAAUGCGUAGAGAUGUGGAGGAACACCAGUGGCGAAGGCGACUCUCUGGUCUGUAACUGACGCUGAGGAGCGAAAGCGUGGGGAGCGAACAGGAUUAGAUACCCUGGUAGUCCACGCCGUAAACGAUGAGUGCUAAGUGUUAGGGGGUUUCCGCCCCUUAGUGCUGCAGCUAACGCAUUAAGCACUCCGCCUGGGGAGUACGGUCGCAAGACUGAAACUC
rnacentral:rRNA from 1 species